rnacentral:lncRNA from 1 species
UCCCAUUAGGCUAAUUAUUUUUAAAAUGGCAAUAAUGCCCUUAAAGUUGUAAUUUUUUUUGUUUUUUUCGUUUUUUUUUUUCGUUUUUUAUUAAAAAAAUCGAUUUUUACAAAAAUAUGGAAGUGAAUAUUCUCAAAUAUUUUGUUUCCAUAUUUUUAGGAACUGAUUUCUUAUCCGUAGAAUACAGCUAAUCUGUAGAAAUCGAUUUCUACAGGUUUUUAGAAUUAUAGUAAUAUGUAGAUUUUGAUUUCUACAUGUUUUAGAUUUACAGUAAAUCUGUAGAAGUCGGUUUCUACGUGUUGUAGAUUUA